rnacentral:rRNA from 1 species
AAUCAACGCUGGCGGCGUGCCUCAGACAUGCAAGUCGAACGAUUAAAGCUCUCUUCGGAGAGUGUAUAGAGUGGCGCACGGGUGAGUAACACGUAAGUAAUCUACCUUCGAGUGGGGAAUAACGUCCGGAAACGGACGCUAAUACCGCAUAAUGCAGCGGCAUCGCAAGAUGACAGUUGUUAAAGAUUUAUCGCUUGAAGAGGAGCUUGCGGCAGAUUAGCUAGUUGGUAAGGUAAUGGCUUACCAAGGCUACGAUCUGUAACCGGUCUAAGAGGACGGUCGGUCACACUGACACUGAAUAACGGGUCAGACUCCUACGGGAGGCAGCAGUCGGGAAUUUUGGGCAAUGGGCGAAAGCCUGACCCAGCAACGCCGCGUGAA